rnacentral:rRNA from 1 species
CACCAGCGCCACGAGUGGGGGCCGCAUUUAUUUGGCCUAAAGCGUCCGUAGCAGGUUUUGUAAAUCUCUUGUGAAAUUGUGAGUCUUAAGCUUACAACGUGCAGGAGACACUGCAGAACUAGGGACCGGGAGAGGUUAGGAGUAUUCUUGGGGGAGCGGUAAAAUGUUAUAAUCCCAAGAAGACUACCAGUGGCGAAGGCGCCUAACCAGAACGGGUCUGACUGUGAGGGACGAAAGCCAGGGGA